CAGCAGCCGCGGUAAAACGAAGGGGGCUAGCGUUGUUCGGAAUUACUGGGCGUAAAGCGCACGCAGGCGGCUCGAUAAAUUAGAAGUGAAAGCCUUGGGCUUAACCUGAGAAUUGCUUUUAAGACUGUCGAGCUAGAAUCCAGAAGAGGGUGGUGGAAUUCCGAGUGUAGAGGUGAAAUUCGUAGAUAUUCGGAAGAACACCAGUGGCGAAGGCGACUACCUGGUCUGGCAUUGACGCUCAUGUGCGAAAGCAUGGGGAGCAAACAGGAUUAGAUACCCCUGUAGUCCCUGUCUCUUAUAC
rnacentral:rRNA from 1 species